AUGAGUGAAAGAUUUUUGGCAACAAAAAUCAGAAUCUCCCUUCACCCUUUGUUUAACACUACCAUCACGUUGCUUUCGGUUGGAAGUGAUUUUGUGAUCAUUUCUAACCGAACAGCCUCAUUAAAAUUCUUGAUUUAAUAAUUGUCUGAAAACCAUUCUUAAUUAAAAGAAAACA
rnacentral:misc_RNA from 1 species